GAGUCUCUGAGCCGUUUCCCCGGCGUCAGAUGGGGUUAGUGAUCCCUCAGAGGUGAGGGUGAAACCGGGUUCAACACUUGCUCGGCACGGCCGGCAGGGAAAGCAACCACCCUAAUUAUCUCAGAGGAAGUUGUUGUAAAUCUUCACAUUUCAACAGAACGUAAACUUAUCUAACUACACUACGCAAGACAUCGUGUUGUAUGUUCUAGAGGACAUGCAAUUCUAGGUGCCACUCAACCAACACGACACCCAGAGGAAGAAGGGGCAUGCCAGCUUGUGUGUUUCUUUUUCAGAGAGAGGAGAACGUUCCCAGAAGCCUCCCGGGCUCUCUCUUAUCUCUGGUCGGAAUUAUGGCAAGUGCCCACCUGUCCCUCAGCCAGUCACUAGGAAAGGGGAGAGAAUUACACGAGUGGUUUAAACUAAUCAGGAUUUUCUCUGCUGAGUUCCUGGAUGCAAGAGAGCUACUACCGCGUCUCCAUGUGACCCUGGGUGUUCCGGGUGGAGGCCAGCGCUGGCCCAUCCCGUCUGCCUCUCACGGGGCGGGCGUUC